CUGAAUUCCUUGGAACUGAACUUAUAGAGCAUAUUAUGAUAAUAUACGGGAGCUCGGAAGUAAACUUGGGUAGUUUUGCACAAGAACAUCAAGGGUCCAUAAUUCCUGAAUCAUCUCUCAAGAUCAAGAUACUCUACUUGAAAAAGAAGCAGAGAAAAAGAACAUAACCUUAUUCAACUGGCACUAGCUCUCUCUACACUGGGUCUACAGCUCAUACAGAAAUACUGUUUUCAAUACCUCUUAGUUCCGGAAUCACUGUCAGGUUCUUAACUCAUAUCUACAAACUGCAAAAAAAAAUUCAUGUCUUCUUUGGAGUUGACGUGUGAUGUGCAGGAAAAAUCUAUG